CUGCAGCCCGAGUGGUGAUCGAUUUUAUUGAGCCUAAAGCGUCCGUAGCCGGUCUGGUAAAUUCUUGGGUAAAUCGGGCAGCUUAACUGUCCGACUUCCGAGGAGACUGCCAGACUUGGGACCGGGAGAGGUCAGAGGUACUCCAGGGGUAGGGGCUAAAUCCUGUAAUCCUUGGGGGACCACCAGUGGCGAAGGCGUCUGACUAGAACGGAUCCGACGGUAAGGGACGAAACCCUGGGGCGCAAACCGGAUUAGAUACCCGAGUAGUCC
rnacentral:rRNA from 1 species